AGAGUUUGAUCCUGGCUCAGGACGAACGCUGGCGGCGUGCCUAAUACAUGCAAGUCGAGCGGACAGAAGGGAGCUUGCUCCCGGAUGUUAGCGGCGGACGGGUGAGUAACACGUGGGUAACCUGCCUGUAAGACUGGGAUAACUCCGGGAAACCGGAGCUAAUACCGGAUAGUUCCUUGAACCGCAUGGUUCAAGGAUGAAAGACGGUUUCGGCUGUCACUUACAGAUGGACCCGCGGCGCAUUAGCUAGUUGGUGAGGUAACGGCUCACCAAGGCGACGAUGCGUAGCCGACCUGAGAGGGUGAUCGGCCACACUGGGACUGAGACACGGCCCAGACUCCUACGGGAGGCAGCAGUAGGGAAUCUUCCGCAAUGGACGAAAGUCUGACGGAGCAACGCCGCGUGAGUGAUGAAGGUUUUCGGAUCGUAAAGCUCUGUUGUUAGGGAAGAACAAGUGCAAGAGUAACUGCUUGCACCUUGACGGUACCUAACCAGAAAGCCACGGCUAACUACGUGCCAGCAGCCGCGGUAAUACGUAGGUGGCAAGCGUUGUCCGGAAUUAUUGGGCGUAAAGGGCUCGCAGGCGGUUUCUUAAGUCUGAUGUGAAAGCCCCCGGCUCAACCGGGGAGGGUCAUUGGAAACUGGGAAACUUGAGUGCAGAAGAGGAGAGUGGAAUUCCACGUGUAGCGGUGAAAUGCGUAGAGAUGUGGAGGAACACCAGUGGCGAAGGCGACUCUCUGGUCUGUAACUGACGCUGAGGAGCGAAAGCGUGGGGAGCGAACAGGAUUAGAUACCCUGGUAGUCCACGCCGUAAACGAUGAGUGCUAAGUGUUAGGGGGUUUCCGCCCCUUAGUGCUGCAGCUAACGCAUUAAGCACUCCGCCUGGGGAGUACGGUCGCAAGACUGAAACUCAAAGGAAUUGACGGGGGCCCGCACAAGCGGUGGAGCAUGUGGUUUAAUUCGAAGCAACGCGAAGAACCUUACCAGGUCUUGACAUCCUCUGACAACCCUAGAGAUAGGGCUUUCCCUUCGGGGACAGAGUGACAGGUGGUGCAUGGUUGUCGUCAGCUCGUGUCGUGAGAUGUUGGGUUAAGUCCCGCAACGAGCGCAACCCUUGAUCUUAGUUGCCAGCAUUCAGUUGGGCACUCUAAGGUGACUGCCGGUGACAAACCGGAGGAAGGUGGGGAUGACGUCAAAUCAUCAUGCCCCUUAUGACCUGGGCUACACACGUGCUACAAUGGACAGAACAAAGGGCUGCGAGACCGCAAGGUUUAGCCAAUCCCACAAAUCUGUUCUCAGUUCGGAUCGCAGUCUGCAACUCGACUGCGUGAAGCUGGAAUCGCUAGUAAUCGCGGGUCAGCAUGCCGCGGUGAAUACGUUCCCGGGCCUUGUACACACCGCCCGUCACACCACGAGAGUUUGCAACACCCGAAGUCGGUGAGGUAACCUUUAUGGAGCCAGCCGCCGAAGGUGGGGCAGAUGAUUGGGGUGAAGUCGUAACAAGGUAGCCGUAUCGGAAGGUGCGGCUG
rnacentral:rRNA from 1 species